UAGAAGGAAGCUCGCUGGAUAGAGUGUUUAGCUGUUAACUAAGAUAUUGUAGGAUCGAGGCCUGCCUUUCUAA
rnacentral:tRNA from 1 species